CGCCAAGGGUCCUAAGAGUCUACUUGGCAAGGUGUUACAAGUUGGUAUUUCCAUUCAUUCAUCCAUGUUUGUUUGCUUCAUAUACCUAAGAAAGUUUGGGUGCCAACUCACAAGCCUUGUCCAUAAGCAGCAUGCAGUAGUUGGGGAGCUAUAAAAGUCGGCCUCAAUAAACUAGUUUUUCCUCCCUAAACUAUAUACAAAGUGGUGUUGCUAUAAUUGUUAGAAAAGUAGUUUAGCAUGUAGGGUAGGUACCACCUUUGUAUCAUUUCCCACUACUACAUGUCCCUUAGAACAUGGAGGAAUUUAUGGAGGGAAUCACGGCUUUAAGGCCUUAGAUGUAGGAGUGUUGUUUUAUCAGACUUGUAUAUAUAUAUAUGUUGUAUAAGAUUGACAUCAAUAAUACAACAGAAACCAUUCCAACCGAAUCUUCUUCUUUUCAUUCUUCUUCUUUUCAUGGUACCAGAGCAGGACGAAAAUCUGCUUAUGCUCACGCUGUGCUUUGUGUUCUCGUAUAGUAGCCAACUCCCAACCCUCUCCUAUCACUGCCGCAUUCUAGCCUCUCGUGCUGCAGAUCUUCUUCUCAUUCCGUUGUACUCUAUAUCUCGUACAACAUUUUAGUUUACUACCACUCCUUCUCCUUGGUAUUUGCACGCCUGCUGCUGCACCUCCCUACACCUCCUUGGUAUUUGCUAUAUCUCCUCGGCCACCACUCUCGCCUGCUGCACUAGAGCACGCCUGCUCACCUCCCUACACACUGAAAAGUUGCUGCAUGUUUUUAAUUAAAGAAAAGCCACUAUCUCUUCCUCACACCAUUCCAACUUGUCUGCCGAUACUUUCCUCACGCCUGCUCACCUCCCUACACACUGAAAAGUUGCUGCAUUUUUUUAAUUAAAGAAAAGUCAUUAUCUCUUCCUCACACCAUUCCAACUUGUCUGCCAUUAUUUCCUUUUUCCUACUUGAAAGUUGUAGCAAGCCACCGACCCUCCACCAUUUUUUUGGUCCUCUCAAGUGUGCAGCUUGUCUCCAUCUUGCUGCAGAUUUUUUUCUCCAGGGCCAAAAUUCUUGACUCCAUAGCCGCUGCACCUUAUCUCUCGUGCAACGAAUUUUCUUCCCAUUCCGUUGUACAUUAUAUCUCUGAUUACACGCAUUUAUAUGCAUAAAAUAAGCGGAAUUGCGGAAAUAAGAGAAAAUGGUGCUAAAAUGAAGAUAAUUGGAGUUUCCGACAAAAUGAAGAAAUAGUCAAUGCGGGUCAACCGUGGUCAACGCCAUCAAUAGAGCGGAAUUCAAUCACCUUCGAUGAUAUGUUGUGGAAGUGCAUUGAAAAAUUGAGGAAAAGAAAGAAAAAAAAAUUUUGAUGUUUGCUGAUGUCAUGAUGACGUCAGCAUGGCUGAUCCCUUCUUCUUCCCAUGUGCAGCCAUUUCCUUUCCUUUUCAAGUUUUCAUUUUCUUCCUUCCUCUCAGCCGCUGCCACGUGUCCUAUCUCUCAUUUUCUUUCUUCUUGUACACGAACAGCCACAGACACACACGUUAAUUAACCUAGGCCAUAUAUAUACCCUUUUCUCUUUGCAACCAGGGGAUCACACGCAGAACCCACGAACAGACAGCAGCCGCACCAAAACAGAGGCAGCCCUUUGGGCUGCUCUCUUUCCCUUCCUUCUCCCUCUUUUCUUCACCUCACUAAGAUUCACACCUCCUCACCAAUAUCUACUUCACCAAAAUCCCUCCUUCUUAUCUUUUCUUCUCCUCACUAAGAUCUCCUCACCAAAAUUCAUUCUCCUCACCAAGAUCUACCUCACCAAAAUUCACCUCACCAAGAUCUACCUCACUAAAAUUCCAUCUUCUCAUCAAUUUCACAAGAUUCAAAGGGGAAGCCCAAGCAUCAAAAGCUUCAUCAUUAUUAAGUUUGGGUAAAAGUGGGGAGCCAUAAAUCAAGGCUAGUCAUAAUUGCUUUUGUAGCAAUUUGUGGCUUGUUCUUGUUACUCCUACUUCUCUUCACUUUGUUCCUCUUUAAAUUAUGUAUUUUGAUAUUAGUUUGGUGAUGGGUAGUGAGUAGUUUUGUUGUUGGGGGUUAGGGUUGUGUGCCCUAGCCCAAAUUUGAUGUAAUGGAUGCUUAAUUUAAUUUAUAUAUGGAAUUUGUUAA